AUGCACGUUAGCAAGUCAAGUCUUAGAAACGACAUUACGAAGUUGUAUUUAGCUAGCUUUGCACAGGAAUAUUCAGGUUACUUUUCAGAAACUAUGGCACAGUUGGAAUAGGAGAACCAUGAAGAGUCGAGUACUUAGUGGGCGUUCAAUUUCUAAAAGACUUAGAUUAUUUGCUUCCGCUGUGCAAUGAAGAUACCAGUCCAGUC
rnacentral:lncRNA from 1 species